GUUUGUUGUCCAGGCAGCUCUGAAAGAGAGGCAGCCCGAGAAGCUGAAAUCAUAUGAGAGAAUCAGUCACUGUAAGAUCUGAAGAGGAGGCAAAAAAAAAAAAACCGAACAGGUACUGAUAUGCAAAUGCAUCCUCUAAAAACUUCUCACUGUUGGACUCGUAGGAUUUGUACCUAGUGUUUCCAGUUUAAACUGCUUUUCACAAAUUUUGGUUGUGUCUCUGAUAUAUUCAACAAGGUUUCACCCUCCCUUUUCAGCCGUGUGAAGUUUCGAAAUGUGUGAAUAAUUUAAAUUGUUUUUGCCUCAUUUCCACUGUCUGAUGUGAUUCUUAUCUGCCUGUCUUGUUUGCCCGAUUUAUGAAGGUUUGUUUUUUAGGUUUUGCCUCAGUUUUUACUAAGGGAGAGAUUUUUUGUCAUGAUAAAUUUUCAUAUUUUAUUGACAGCUUUCUCCUCAAGGCCUUGAUUUGGUGAAGCCCUUCUGCAGUUAUUCAACUUUAGGUGGGAAGAGGACACUUCAGGAAGAUACACUGGAAGAUGCAGAGACAAAGCCAGGAUGUUCCCAUCUGAUCUCCCCUUCCAGCUCCCCUGGAGGUAGUCUAGUUUGGAGAGAGGAUUCUCACCUGAGACCUGACUUGAAAAGUGACUGGAGACCCACAGGAAGUGAAAUGGAGCACACAACCCCUCAAUCCAAUCAAAGCUAA
rnacentral:lncRNA from 1 species